ACGGGAGGCAGCAGUGGGGAAUAUUGCACAAUGGGCGAAAGCGCUGAUGCAGCGACGCCGCGUGAGGGAUGACGGCCUUCGGGUUGUAAACCUCUUUCAGCAGGGACGAAGCGCAAGUGACGGUACCUGCAGAAGAAGCACCGGCUAACUACGUGCCAGCAGCCGCGGUAAUACGUAGGGUGCAAGCGUUGUCCGGAAUUACUGGGCGUAAAGAGUUCGUAGGCGGUUUGUCGCGUCGUUUGUGAAAACCAGCAGCUCAACUGCUGGCUUGCAGGCGAUACGGGCAGACUUGAGUACUGCAGGGGAGACUGGAAUUCCUGGUGUAGCGGUGAAAUGCGCAGAUAUCAGGAGGAACACCGGUGGCGAAGGCGGGUCUCUGGGCAGUAACUGACGCUGAGGAACGAAAGCGUGGGUAGCGAACAGGAUUAGAUACCCUGGUAGUCCACGCCGUAAACGGUGGGCGCUAGGUGUGGGUUCCUUCCACGGAAUCCGUGCCGUAGCUAACGCAUUAAGCGCCCCGCCUGGGGAGUACGGCCGCAAGGCUAAAACUC
rnacentral:rRNA from 1 species